GAGAUCAUGAGCUAAGCCGAAACCAACAGUCAGAUGCUUAACCGACUGAGCCACCCAGGAGCCCCUUAACUGCUGUUUUCCGUCAACUUUAUUACCAUUUUGUGUUUAGGAGUCUGCGAAAGAAUAGCUUAAGACAAUGCAAUGGCUGUUCCUACCCGGCGGGGUCUUCAGGGCCAUCUCAGUCGCCUUCUCAGCGCUCCAAUUGUCCUCAAAGAACUGCUGAAUAGGCCCAGAGGGCACUGCACGCCUUCAGGUGAAUCUGCAACCUCGGACUGAGUAGCAGUAAAUUCGGGAGCUGGAGCAGUUCAGUCACCCUAAAAUUCCUCCUUGGUCACAGUCUUUUCAGCAGUGGUCUGCUCUUCCUUUUCUACCUUUUCAGGAUCUCCGUAAAAGGAGAGCUGGAGCCUGAGCUCCCGCAAGUGUUCACAGGAGAUGGCGCUGUACAUGCGCAGAAACUCCGGGACCAGCAUGCACCACAUCAGUCCCACUAAAUGAGCUUUUCCUCUCUCCUUUUCUCUCUCUCUCUCUCUCUCUCUCUCUCUGUAUGUCUUUUUUCUCUCUUUUUUUUCUCUCUCUCUCUUUUUUUUUUUUCUUGCAAGAGACAGCAAUGCCUGCAUAGUGCCAAGAAGAGUCUGGGUUACACAGAGCAAAGAAGUCAACCCACCUAACUGGAUUCCUGCUGCAAGGAAUUUGAGGACACCCUCCUCCUUCAUUUGCAGAACAUCAAGGGCUCCAGGGAGGGUGACGUUUCCCCUUCAACUUACAAUGGGAAUCCAGAACAAUGCCAUAUGGACUCCUUUCUGUUGAACGUUGAGUGAGCUUGGCUUCAAAGCAAGCAUGAUGAACAAGAAACAUGGCUAGUGGACAAGAGGAGGAAACGAGGACCAUAUGAGAGAGAGGAAAGAACAUGAGGGCAAAGUGGCUGUCUGCAAGUCAGGAAGAGACCUCUCAACAGAAACUGACUCUGCCAGAACUUAGUUUGGAACAUCUAUGCUCCAGAACUGUUGAGAAAAUAAAUUCCUGUUGUUUAAGCACUCAGUCUACAGUAUUUUGUUAUGGCAGCCUGAGCCACACCAAGAUGUUCCCAAUAUGCCACUUUUAAGCAAAGGAUAUGAGUUGGAGAAAAACAGAAAAUCAUAUUUUAAUUGGGCUGUGAAGUUGGAUGCAGGCCUACAAGAACUCAUAGGAAAAAGCUGCUGCUGGAUUUCUGAACUUAAUCUGCCAAGAACUUCCGUGCAACACAUGCUCACUGCAGUUUUCAAGUGAUUGCCAGUUGCUGAACUCUUUGUACACGUUUGCAAUUCAUUGUGUUACCCCCUUACUGCUGUUUCUGGCAUCUGCUCUGACUGCUGGAUUUUUGGUUAUGGAGAAGUUCAGCAAUUCUCUUUACAAACUCUCUACCCAGUGGGAGGUGCUAUUAUUUUACUUUGUUUGGAGAAAUUAGCUAUUCCCCCAGGAAAUCAAACAAAACCCUUGUCUUUUAUACUUCCCCAUUUUCUCACUCUGACUGAAGUUGAAAGGUAUUUCACCCAGGGGCUACGAGGAGAGCAGAAACAUUUUUUGUUUAUUUUAUUUUAAACACCAGACUCUCCACUAAAUGUGGGUAUAAACUCCAACUUCACAGAAUUAAGAUCUAGCUAAUGGCUAAUGUUGCCUGAGUACCUAAGUGCCAAAUUUGUAUGCUAAAUAUUCUACCCAAUUUAUUUUAAUUAAUUUCUACAACAAACCUAUAAAAUAAGCAUCAUUAUCCCCCCUUAUUCAGAUAAAUAAACUAAAGUUUGAAAGUUAACAAGUUU